rnacentral:rRNA from 1 species
GACGAACGCUGGCGGCGUGCUUAACACAUGCAAGUCGAACGGAAAGGCCCUGCUUUUGUGGGGUGCUCGAGUGGCGAACGGGUGAGUAACACGUGAGUAACCUGCCCUUGACUUUGGGAUAACUUCAGGAAACUGGGGCUAAUACCGGAUAGGAGCUCCUGCUGCAUGGUGGGGGUUGGAAAGUUUCGGCGGUUGGGGAUGGACUCGCGGCUUAUCAGCUUGUUGGUGGGGUAGUGGCUUACCAAGGCUUUGACGGGUAGCCGGCCUGAGAGGGUGACCGGCCACAUUGGUACUGCGAUACGGCCCAGACUCCUACGGGCGGCAGCAGUGGGGAAUAUUGCGCAAUGGGCGGAAGCCUGAUGCAGCAACGCCGCGUGCGGGAUGACGGCCUUCGGGUUGUAAACCGCUUUCGCCUGUGACGAAGCGUGAGUGACGGUAAUGGGUAAAGAAGCACCGGCUAACUACGUG